rnacentral:rRNA from 1 species
CUCGUAGUUGGACCUGUGUUCCACGCUGUCGGUUCGCCGCCCGUCGGUGUUAACUGGCAUGUCCGUGGAACGUCCUGCCGGUGGCGGUCCGGGCUCUCGGCUUGCGUAAAGGCUCACGCCCGAAGCAGGCCGAACAGUACCGGCCGCCGGUCCAAUCCCGCCACGGUGCUCUUCACCGAGUGUCGAGGUGGGCCGGCACGUUUACUUUGAACAAAUUAGAGUGCUUAAAGCAGGCUGGUGUCCGCCUGAAUACUGUGUGCAUGGAAUAAUGGAAUAGGACCUCGGUUCUAUUUUGUUGGUUUUCGGAACCCGAGGUAAUGAUUAAUAGGGACAGGCGGGGGCAUUCGUAUUGCGACGUUAGAGGUGAAAUUCUUGGAUCGUCGCAAGACGAACCUAAGCGAAAGCAUUUGCCAAGUAUGUUCUCGUUAAUCAAGAACGAAAGUUAGAGGUUCGAAGGCGAUCAGAUACCGCCCUAGUUCUAACCAUAAACGAUGCCAGCCAGCGAUCCGCCGAAGUUCCUCCGAUGACUCGGCGGGCAGCUUCCGGGAAACCAAAGCUUUUGGGUUCCGGGGGAAGUAUGGUUGCAAAGCUGAAACUUAAAGGAAUUGACGGAAGGGCACCACCAGGAGUGGAGCCUGCGGCUUAAUUUGACUCAACACGGGAAACCUCACCAGGCCCGGACACCGGAAGGAUUGACAGAUUGAGAGCUCUUUCUUGAUUCGGUGGGUGGUGGUGCAUGGCCGUUCUUAGUUGGUGGAGCGAUUUGUCUGGUUAAUUCCGAUAACGAACGAGACUCUAGCCUGCUAACUAGGCGAUUUCCGGUACCCACAAUAGUGUUACCGGCGAUUCAAUUUCUUCUUAGAGGGACAGGCGGCUCCUAGCCGCACGAGACUGAGCAAUAACAGGUCUGUGAUGCCCUUAGAUGUCCUGGGCCGCACGCGCGCUACACUGAAGGAAUCAGCGUGUCUUCCCUGGCCGACAGGCCCGGGUAACCCGUUGAACCUCCUUCGUGCUAGGGAUUGGGGCUUGCAAUUGUUCCCCAUGAACGAGGAAUUCCCAGUAAGCGCGAGUCAUAAGCUCGCGUUGAUUACGUCCCUGCCCUUUGUACACACCGCCCGUCGCUACUACCGAUUGAAUGAUUUAGUGAGGUCUUCGGACUGGUGCGCGGCGAUCGGCUUAUACUGCCGGCCGCCGAUGUUGCCGGAAAGAUGACCAAACUUGAUCAUUUAGAGGAAGUAAAAGUCGUAACAAGGUUUCC